UAGGGAAUCUUCCACAAUGGACGCAAGUCUGAUGGAGCAACGCCGCGUGAGUGAAGAGGGUUUUCGGACCGUAAAGCUCUGUUGUUGGUGAAGAAGGAUAGAGGUAGUAACUGGCCUUUAUUUGACGGUAAUCAACCAGAAAGUCACGGCUAACUACGUGCCAGCAGCCGCGGUAAUACGUAGGUGGCAAGCGUUGUCCGGAUUUAUUGGGCGUAAAGCGAGCGCAGGCGGAAGAAUAAGUCUGAUGUGAAAGCCCUCGGCUUAACCGAGGAAUUGCAUCGGAAACUGUUUUCUUGAGUGCAGAA
rnacentral:rRNA from 1 species